rnacentral:rRNA from 1 species
UACGGGGGGGGCAAGCGUUGUUCGGAAUUACUGGGCGUAAAGGGCGCGUAGGUGGCGCGACAAGUCAGUGGUGAAAGCUCGACGCUCAACGUCGAGUCGGCCACUGAUACUGUUGGGCUUGAGCACUGUAGAGGCUAAUGGAAUUCCGGGUGUAGCGGUGGAAUGCGUAGAGAUCCGGAAGAACACCGGUGGCGAAGGCGGUUAGCUGGGCAGUUGCUGACACUGAGGCGCGACAGCGUGGGGAGCAAACAGG